rnacentral:rRNA from 1 species
GACGAACGCUGGCGGUGUGCUUAACACAUGCAAGUCGAACGGUAAGGCCCUUUCGGGGGUACACGAGCGGGGAACGGGCGAGUAACACGGGAGUAACUUCCCCUCAUCUCUGGGAUAACAGUCUGAACCGGUUGCAAAUACUGGAAAUGAGCCUGCAAGGAAUCUUUGGGGUUGGAUAGAUUUUUUGGUUGGGGAUGGACUCGCGGCCUAUCAGCUUGUUUGUGUGGUAGUGGCUGACCAAGGCUUCGCCGGGGAGCCGGCCUGAGAGGGCGAACGGCCACAUUGGGACUGCGAUACGGCCCAAACGCCGACGGGAAGCAGCAGUGGGGAAUAUUGCACAAAGGACGGAAGGCUGAUGCAAGAACGCCGCGUGCGGGAGGACGGCCUUCCGGUUGUAAACCGCUUUCAAUUGGUACGAAGCUGUUUGUGACGGUAGCAGUAGAAGAAGCACCGGCUAACUACGUG